GAACAUCUUCUUCAGUAAGAAUAAUGAAAUGUCAUCAUGCUAAGAGAUUUGGACCAGCUCUAUAAAUUAAACAGUACGUGAUGACAGCCUUGAGGCGGCAUAUUCUGAAUCUUCUUUGAAGAAGGAACAGGAGGCUAUGAGAAGGAGAAUCUUUUCCCAGGCUAUGAGUCACACUAAGAUCAUUGUCUUCUUUCAUUCAAGAGAAAUUCAGCACUGGUUUCUGAAAUGGGAACAGAGGAAUCAAAUGUCUGUACGUCUCUCAAGGAGAAGGGGACUAUCCAGUCACUGCUUCACAAAAGACAUGUUGCCAUCCAUAUGUAGAAGCCAGUUGCUGGCCCUGAAGAUUUACUAA
rnacentral:lncRNA from 1 species